AGGAAUAUUGGUCAAUGGACGAGAGUCUGAACCAGCCAAGUAGCGUGAAGGAUGACUGCCCUAUGGGUUGUAAACUUCUUUUAUACGGGAAUAAAGUGAGGCACGUGUGCCUUUUUGUAUGUACCGUAUGAAUAAGGAUCGGCUAACUCCGUGCCAGCAGCCGCGGUAAUACGGAGGAUCCGAGCGUUAUCCGGAUUUAUUGGGUUUAAAGGGAGCGUAGGCGGACGCUUAAGUCAGUUGUGAAAGUUUGCGGCUCAACCGUAAAAUUGCAGUUGAUACUGGGUGUCUUGAGUACAGUAGAGGCAGGCGGAAUUCGUGGUGUAGCGGUGAAAUGCUUAGAUAUCACGAAGAACUCCGAUUGCGAAGGCAGCUUGCUGGACUGUAACUGACGCUGAUGCUCGAAAGUGUGGGUAUCAAACAGGAUUAGAUACCCUGGUAGUCCACACAGUAAAACGAUGAAUACUCGCUGUUUGCGAUAUACAGUAAGCGGCCAAGCGAAAGCGUUAAGUAUUCCACCUGGGGAGUACGCCGGCAACGGUGAAACUCAAAGGAAUUGACGGGGGCCCGCACAAGCGGAGGAACAUGUGGUUUAAUUCGAUGAUACGCGAGGAACCUUACCCGGGCUUGAAUUGCAACUGAAUGAUGUGGAGACAUGUCAGCCGCAAGGCAGUUGUGAAGGUGCUGCAUGGUUGUCGUCAGCUCGUGCCGUGAGGUGUCGGCUUAAGUGCCAUAACGAGCGCAACCCUUAUCGAUAGUUACCAUCAGGUUAUGCUGGGGACUCUGUCGAGACUGCCGUCGUAAGAUGUGAGGAAGGUGGGGAUGACGUCAAAUCAGCACGGCCCUUACGUCCGGGGCUACACACGUGUUACAAUGGGGGGUACAGAAGGCAGCUACACGGCGACGUGAUGCUAAUCCCUAAAGCCUCUCUCAGUUCGGAUUGGAGUCUGCAACCCGACUCCAUGAAGCUGGAUUCGCUAGUAAUCGCGCAUCAGCCACGGCGCGGUGAAUACGUUCCCG
rnacentral:rRNA from 1 species